GGUCUUGCUGUGUCCCCUAGGCUGGAGUGCAGUGGUGCAGUCUCAAUUAUGCCAGAUGGCUCUGAGGUCCAAGUAAAAGAUAAUAUUUGCAACCAACUCACUGGAGUUGACCAUCAAAACUCUUUUCCAGGUGGAAAAGCACCCUGAAUCCAGCUUCCUGCUAUGAAUGAAUACUGACCUUGGGAUGGUGGA